rnacentral:rRNA from 1 species
GAGUUUGAUCGUGGCUCAGAUUGAACGCUGGCGGCAUGCCUUACACAUGCAAGUCGAACGGCAGCAUGAUCUAGCUUGCUAGAUUGAUGGCGAGUGGCGAACGGGUGAGUAAUACAUCGGAACGUGCCCUGUAGUGGGGGAUAACUAGUCGAAAGAUUAGCUAAUACCGCAUACGACCUGAGGGUGAAAGUGGGGGACCGCAAGGCCUCAUGCUAUAGGAGCGGCGAUGUCUGAUUAGCUAGUUGGUGGGGUAAAGGCCCACCAAGGCGACGGAUCAGUAGCUGGUCUGAGAGGACGAUCAGCCACACUGGGACUGAGACACGGCCCAGACUCCUACGGGAGGCAGCAGUGGGGAAUUUGGACAAUGGGCAAAGCCUGAUCCAGCAAUGCCGCGUGUGUGAAGAAGGCC